AAGUCGUAACAAGGUUUCCGUAGGUGAACCUGCGGAAGGAUCAUUAACACGGUUUUUUACCAAACCAAAUACCAAAACUCUGUGAAUGAGACUCUUCAUUGAGUCUCGCCCUGUUUUCCCCCUUUAAUCACUUUUAAUCCCAAAAAUAUUCAUCAUAUUAUUCGUAAUGUGAUGUUAUUUUGUAACUACAAUUUUUUUUACAUUACUCUUUGUCUUCGGACAAAAGUAAUCAAAAAGAUAUUUUCUCCUUUGGAGAAAUUCAUAUCUUUUUAUGAACCAAACGUUGUACAACUCUUAGCAACGGAUAUCUUGGCUCUC
rnacentral:misc_RNA from 1 species